AUUGAACGCUGGCGGCAUGCCUUACACAUGCAAGUCGAACGGCAGCACGGGAGCAAUCCUGGUGGCGAGUGGCGAACGGGUGAGUAAUAUAUCGGAACGUGCCCAGUCGUGGGGGAUAACGCAGCGAAAGCUGUGCUAAUACCGCAUACGAUUCAUGGAUGAAAGCGGGGGAUCGCAAGACCUCGCGCGAUUGGAGCGGCCGAUAUCAGAUUAGCUAGUUGGUGGGGUAAAAGCCCACCAAGGCGACGAUCUGUAGCUGGUCUGAGAGGACGACCAGCCACACUGGAACUGAGACACGGUCCAGACUCCUACGGGAGGCAGCAGUGGGGAAUUUUGGACAAUGGGCGCAAGCCUGAUCCAGCAAUGCCGCGUGCAGGAUGAAGGCCUUCGGGUUGUAAACUGCUUUUGUACGGAACGAAACGGCGAGCUCUAAUAAAGUUUGCUAAUGACGGUACCGUAAGAAUAAGCACCUGCUAACUACGUGCCAGCCGCCGCGGUAA
rnacentral:rRNA from 1 species